AGUGUUCAGAGGCCUGGUACACCAUCACAGAGCAUAGAUUACUACUGAGUCGAUACACCUGUGACAUCUCUGGCCUAUGGAGACCAUUUGAGAAUGGCUAUUACCUGUGAAAUCUAUGUUUCCCUGCCUUCAGAGGUCUGAUUCUUGGGAUUUUUGUGAAUCACCCAGCACCUUCCAUUUGGAAAACCAGUAACCACACUCUCACCUACAUUCUGUGCAUUUCACUCAUCUUCUCUUUCUUUGGCUCCAUGAUAUUCACAGGCCAUUCACACUCAGUCAGUUUUAUAGUGAAGCAAACCAUGUUCGUAGGUGCAUAGACUAGGAUAUUUUUUCCCAAACUUUUGGCCAAAUUGACCGUGGUUCUCAAUUUCAGAGUG
rnacentral:lncRNA from 1 species